rnacentral:misc_RNA from 1 species
GCUCCGUAGGUGAACCUGCGGAGGGAUCAUUACCGAGCUCAUGCCCUUACGGGUAGAUCUCCCACCCUGUGUUAUUAUUACCUUUGUUGCUUUGGCGGGCCGCCAGGCUCCGGUCAGGCUAUCGGCUUCGGCUGGUAAGCGCCCGCCAGAGGACCCUAUAUCCUGAUUAUUAGUGUCGUCUGAGUACUAUAUAAUAGUUAAAACUUUCAACAACGGAUCUCUUGGUUCUG